GAUGAAGAACGCAGCGAAAUGCGAUAACUAAUGUGAAUUGCAGAAUUCCGUGAAUCAUCGAGUCUUUGAACGCACAUUGCGCCCCCUGGUAUUCCGGGGGGCAUGCCUGUCCGAGCGUCAUUACAACCCUCAAGCCCGGCUUGUGUAAUGGGCGGCCGUCUCUCCCCCCGGGGGGAGACGCCCCCGAAACUCAGUGGGGAUGUCGCGAUACCGAAGCCUCAGCUAAUGGGUAAACCGCAGCUGCAAUGGCCGCGGCCGGCGUCCGCCUUCCACGGUCCGUCCGCCUAGCGCGGGCGGCCUUCUCAAGGUUGACCUCGGAUCAGGUAGGGAUACCCGCUGAACUUAAGCAUAUCAAUAAGCGGAGGA
rnacentral:misc_RNA from 1 species